UCUUCCCCCGCUCAAAAAGUAUGUUUUUUUUUUUAUAAACUUUAAAUAUCAUUUUUGUGAUUUCGCAAUCAAUUUUUAUAUUCUAUGAUUUUAUUUUUUUCUUUUCAUCAGCUCCUCUGUUAAUAUUUUAUUACAUUAUAUAUAAAAAAAACUUCAAAUAUCCCACCUAGAUUUAUCGAAUAUUCACUUUAGUACCUUUUAGUUCACUGAUGUAAUAAAAAAAAUUAAUGAAUGGAAUAAUAAAAAGAAAAAAAUAAAACCACGGAAUACUAUAUUGAUACACUUUAAACCAUAUAGUACUAAAGUGAGAAAGUGCGAAACCAUAGUGGUGGUAUUUGAAGUUUUUUUCUUUUUUUCUCCUUUAAAAAAGUUAAACUCAAAUACCACUCCGGUAAUUUCAUGUUUUUUUAUUUUAUUUUAGUAUCUUAUGAUUUAAAGUGUAUCACUUUCAUAUUCUGUAGUUUUAUUUUUCUUUUUUCAUCGGCACCUUUAUUAGCUCUUCGUUAAAUUAUAUAAAAAAAACUUCAGAUACCCCACCUAUGAUUUAUUGAAUAUUCAUUUUAGUACCGCGCGUGUGGUUUUAAUUUUGUCACUGAUUUAAUAAAUAAAUUAACGGAGGAUAUCACGGGAAGAGAAAAAUAAAAUCAUACGGUACGAAAGUGAUACAUUUUAAAUCACGGGGUACUUAAUUAAAUGAGAAAGCGCGAAACCACAAUAUCGUAUUUGAAGGUUUUUCAAAAAAUAUAUAAAAUUUAUUUAAACUAUUAACCAUAGAAUGUAUCUACUGUUAAAUAUAAAAAUAUAAGAAAUAUCGUUCUCUACUAGUUAAGCAUUUUAAAAAUAAUGAUUAUUUCAUUUAACUUAAUAUAAUAUUAAAGUAAGUGGUUCUGAAUUCGAGUCACGUCAGACUUCUAGUAUAGUUAUUUUUUUAUUUAAUUCAAGUCGGAAUCAUGAGUAUAUCAAAAAAAUCUCGAGCCCAAAGAUGAAGAGCAAUAUGUUAAAGAUAAAAAUAUAAAAAUAUUAUUUUCUACUAGUUUAGAUUUUUAGAGAAUAAUAGUUAUUUUAUUUAAUUUAACAUCUAAAUUACGGACCAUAAAAUUUAUCUAAACUAUGACUAAAUAUUAUUAUCCAUUCAGUUAAUUAUAUUUUGACUUCAAAAUUUAAACCAAUUACUUAUUUUAAUAAAUUUAUUGUUACAAAAAUUAUAUAAAAUAUACUAAUAAAAUCUGUAAAGAUAAAAAAAAAUAUUUAAAUUGUUUGGUCAAGGCGUAAUAAAUUGACUCAAACUAACUAAGUUAAAAGGUUGGAUAGGUAAUUCAAAAUAGACCGUAGUUUAAAUAAAUUC
rnacentral:lncRNA from 1 species